rnacentral:misc_RNA from 1 species
AAGUCGUAACAAGGUUUCCGUAGGUGAACCUGCGGAAGGAUCAUUAACGAGUCAACAAGGGAGUUGUAGCUGGCCGCAAGGCAUGUGCACGCUCUCUACUCAAUCCAACCUUACACCUGUGCACCUAUUGUAGGUCGAGUGGCUGGACUUGUUCUGGCCGCUCUUCCUAUGUUUUACACAUACACUUGUAGUCUCAGAAUGUAAUCCGCGUAUAACGCAUUAUAAAACAACUUUCAACAACGGAUCUCUUGGCUCUC